ACUGUGUGUUGUUGGGUAGGGGAGCGUUCUGUAAGCCUGCGAAGGUGGCCUGUGAGGGUUGCUGGAGGUAUCAGAAGUGCGAAUGCUGACAUAAGUAACGAUAAAGCGGGUGAAAAGCCCGCUCGCCGGAAGACCAAGGGUUCCUGUCCAACGUUAAUCGGGGCAGGGUGAGUCGACCCCUAAGGCGAGGCCGAAAGGCGUAGUCGAUGGGAAACGGGUUAAUAUUCCCGUACUUGGUGUUACUGCGAAGGGGGGACGGAGAAGGCUAUGUUGGCCGGGCGACGGUUGUCCCGGUUUAAGCGUGUAGGUGUGUGUUCCAGGUAAAUCCGGUUCACUUUAACACUGAGGCGUGACGACGAGGCACUACGGUGCUGAAGCAACAAAUGCCCUGCUUCCAGGAAAAGCCUCUAAGCAUCAGGUAACAUCAAAUCGUACCCCAAACCGACACAGGUGGUCAGGUAGAGAAUACCAAGGCGCUUGAGAGAACUCGGGUGAAGGAACUAGGCAAAAUGGUGCCGUAACU
rnacentral:rRNA from 1 species